AGUCAUAUGCUUGUCUCAAAGAUUAAGCCAUGCAUGUCUCAGUACAAGCCGAAUUAAGGUGAAACCGCGAAAGGCUCAUUAAAUCAGUUAUGGUUCCUUAGAUCGUACCCACAUUUACUUGGAUAACUGUGGUAAUUCUAGAGCUAAUACAUGCAAACAGAGCCCCGACCGGAGACGGAAGGGGCGCUUUUAUUAGAUCAAAACCAAUCGGCGGUGGGCCUCGUGUCCGUCGUCGUACAACCUGGUGAAUCUGAAUAACUUUCUGCUGAUCGCAUGGUCUCGCACCGGCGACGCAUCUUUCAAAUGUCUGCCUUAUCAACUGUCGAUGGUAGGUUCUGCGCCUACCAUGGUUGUAACGGGUAACGGGGAAUCAGGGUUCGAUUCCGGAGAGGGAGCCUGAGAAACGGCUACCACAUCCAAGGAAGGCAGCAGGCGCGCAAAUUACCCACUCCCGGCACGGGGAGGUAGUGACGAAAAAUAACGAUACGGGACUCAUCCGAGGCCCCGUAAUCGGAAUGAGUACACUCUAAACCCUUUAACGAGGAUCAAUUGGAGGGCAAGUCUGGUGCCAGCAGCCGCGGUAAUUCCAGCUCCAAUAGCGUAU
rnacentral:rRNA from 1 species